AACGAACGCUGGCGGCAUGCCUAACACAUGCAAGUCGAACGAGACCUUCGGGUCUAGUGGCGCACGGGUGCGUAACGCGUGGGAACCUGCCCUUAGGUUCGGAAUAACUCCCCGAAAGGGGUGCUAAUACCGGAUAAUGUCUUCGGACCAAAGAUUUAUCGCCUUUGGAUGGGCCCGCGUUGGAUUAGCUAGUUGGUAGGGUAAAAGCCUACCAAGGCGACGAUCCAUAGCUGGUCUGAGAGGAUGAUCAGCCACACUGGGACUGAGACACGGCCCAGACUCCUGCGGGAGGCAGCAGUGGGGAAUAUUGGACAAUGGGCGAAAGCCUGAUCCAGCAAGGCCGCGAGAGUGAUGAAGGCCUUAGGGUGGUAAAGCUCUUUUACCCGGGAUGAUAAUGACGGUACCGGGAGAAUAAGCUCCGGCUAACUCCGU
rnacentral:rRNA from 1 species